UGGGGAAUUUUGGACAAUGGGGGCAACCCUGAUCCAGCCAUUCCGCGUGAGUGAAGAAGGCCUUCGGGUUGUAAAGCUCUUUUGUCCGGAACGAAACGGUUGAGGCUAAUACUCUCGACUACUGACGGUACCGGAAGAAUAAGCACCGGCUAACUACGUGCCAGCAGCCGCGGUAAUACGUAGGGGGCGAGCGUUGUCCGGAGUUACUGGGCGUAAAGGGCACGCAGGCGGUGCGGCGCGUUUCGCGUGACAGCGGAGGGCUUACCUCUCCGAGGAUGCGAAAGACGGCGGCACUUGAGGGCCAGAGAGGGACACGGAAUUCCGGGUGGAGUGGUGAAAUGCGUAGAGAUCCGGAGGAACACCGAAGGCGAAGGCAGUGUCCUGGCUGGUGACUGACGCUGAGGUGCGAAAGCUAGGGGAGCGAAC
rnacentral:rRNA from 1 species